rnacentral:rRNA from 1 species
AUGAGCAUGGUCGCAGAUGCUGUUGGCGUCUCGUUGAUAGGGUGGUUCGUCACGCCGUUCAUCAGCAAGUCCAUCAAGGCAGCACGCAAAUACAUAGACGAGGAGAACAAAUCGCUCAAGAAUGUCAAUCCCAAGCUGAAGGAGCUGGCCGACCAUCUUGAUGGCAUCAGGGUGACUGUUGACAAAGUCGGGCUAUGUUUCAUCAAGAAGGGGACAGGGGAGGCCGUGGAGCAUCUGUGGCGGCUCAAGGGUGCCAUUUAUGAAGCGGAGGAGAUUCUGGACCUGUACGAGAGUCUAAAGAACAAGCCUCUUUCUUGUGAGUUUGCACAGCAAUUUACUGGAACCAAAGACUCACCUAGUCGUCUUGAGGAAGUGGUGGAGAAGCUAGGCAGACUUGGCCUGAGGACGCGGGAGUUGCUAAAGAAUUCAGACAACAAUCACAGCAUUGUUCAUGGUUCUCCCAUCCUCCUUAGAGGCCCGUCACAAGCAAAUUCCGGGAAUGGUUUCUUCGGGUACGUCGAGGAGCGUCGCCAGCUACAGAAUCUGCUGAAAGGCGAGCAGAAUAAGGUUAUAGCCAUCAUAGGCCAUGGAGGGAUGGGGAAGACUCACCUUGCUCGCCAUGUAUUUGAUGCUAAUGAGCCCGGGUUUGAGGUGCGCAUAUGGGCGCACGUCUGCAACAAAUUGGAUCAAAUUGAGCUUCUGACAGAGAUAUGCCGGUCGCCCAUCAACAAGUCUGGCGCCCCAAUGAUCCAUGGUCCAAUAAUGGACACCGUUGCUGCGCUAGAGUCCGUGGUUAAAGGUCUGUCCAGAAGCUCAGGGUUCGGGUUGAUCGAACGAACAAAAACUUGUUUGGUCGUGCUUGAUGAUGUAUGGCAGCACGAGGACGGAUUUGGGUCGACCAGCCACACGCGGAUCAGCCGGGCUCAGAGAAAUAAGGCAUGGGCGAGUGUGCUGGACAUGUUGAGGAGCCUUAAAAGUUGCAAAGUUGUAAUGACCACUCGAGACAAGGUUUGUUCCACAACACUCAAGGCAGAUGAAACAAUCGUCCUGGAUGGGAUCAGCCAAGAGCCAAUGAAAGAGCUGCUCAAACACAUUGCAAAACCUGACCAACCUCCCCAAGGGCUUGUGCAACGGAUUGGCAAGUUGGAGGGAUCCCCACGAGCAGCUCUCAGUAUUGUUCACAAGCUCAACAUAGCAAAUAGUAAGAUUCAGGAGCAAAUCAUCCUAGGUGAACUCGACGACAAGAAUCACAUCCAAGGCCUGUAUGAAGAUCUUCUAUUCACCUACCAUAACCUACCACUGCGCUUACAGAGCUGCCUGGCGUUCUGCAGCGUGUUCCCAUAUAAUUGGAAGUUCCAGCCUGAAAAGUUAACCAAGAUGUGGAUAGCUCACGGUUUCAUUGACGACACGCAAGUGAAACAACACAUGCUGGCUGACCAGAAGCUGCUGGCCAUGGAGGGUGUGGCGAAAGGCUAUUUUAAGGAUCUCGUGGAUCGGUCCUUAUUCAAGAUUGGCACGGAUGGCCACUAUGUGAUCCAUGUGCACAUCCAUUCCAUGAUACGCCAGGUGUCUGGCGAUGACUGUAUGAGCAUUAGCAACGGCUCGUCAUCGGAGAUAAUCGUCCCUGCAACAGUUCGCCACUUAUCUGUGACUACCGGCUGCCUAGCGAAGCUCAAACCAGGGCCUCCAUUGGUGGAGAGCAAUUUUAAACCUGAGGACGAAUUCAGACCGGUGCGGACACUGAUUGUCUUCACGGACAAGGGAGCUCCUUCCUUGCCUUGGAGUGACAUUCGUCAGGCAAACAGCACACUCAGAAAGUUCAAGCAUGUCAAGGUACUGGAUUUGACGGAUACAGUCAUAACUCAGGUGCCUGAUAGUGUGGGUGAGCUCACACAUCUGCGGUACCUAGGUGUUCCUAACACUGUGAACCACCCUCCUGCUCAAAUUCCCGAGCUACUACUGUUCUACAUCAACCAUGAAGCAACCAAGAGGGCACCCAUGAUGCAGUCUGCGCCCCUGCCCAAUCCUGGUGGCGGCGGCGCCGGCAAGGCGCCCCUGCACAAUCCUGGUGGCGGCGGCGCCGGCAAGGCGCCCCUGCACAAUCCUGGUGGUGGCGGCGUCGGCAAGGCGCCCCUGCACAAUCCUGGUGGUGGCCGCGCCGGCAAGGCGCCCCUGCACAAUCCUGGUGGUGGCCGCGCCGGCAAGGUGCCCCUGCCCUGCAAUUUCAAGUCAAUCUAG